UUAAAUCCUCUUCCUUGGCCUCUUAAUGGCUGAGAUUGAGUAGGAUUUAUUGUUGAGGAGCCAGGAGGCAACUGCAAACCAGAUGAUGGUUUCGCAGCUACUGCAGUAAUAGGAUCAGCAAUACUAAGCUUGUCAAGGCCAAUAGAAUCACCAACAUUCUUCCCUCGCAGAACUACAGUUGAUCGUGCAGCAGCAGAAUUAUCGCCUAAAACAGAAGGCUGAGCAUUGCAGCUACUUGUCCCGGUUUGCUAAGCUUGUCAAGGCUAAUAGAAUCACCAACAUUCUUCCCUCGCAGAACUACAGUUGAUCGUGCAGCAGCAGAAUUAUCGCCUAAAACAGAAGGCUGAGCAUUGCAGCUACUUGUCCCGGUUUGCAACUCUCUCUUGUC
rnacentral:lncRNA from 1 species